rnacentral:rRNA from 1 species
CCUACGGGUGGCAGCAGUGGGGAAUAUUGGACAAUGGGGGAAACCCUGAUCCAGCGACGCCGCGUGAGUGAAGACGUAUUUCGGUACGUAAAGCUCUAUCAGCAGGAAAGAAAAUGACGGUACCUGACUAAGAAGCCCCGGCUAACUACGUGCCAGCAGCCGCGGGAAUCCGUAGGGGGCAGGCGUUAUCCGGAUGUACUGGGUGUAAAGGGGGCGUAGAGGGGAGUGCAAGUCUGGAGGGAAAUGUCGGGGGCCAACCCCGGAAGUGCUGUGGAAACUGUGAAGCUGGAGUGCAGGAGAGGUAAGCGGAAUGCGUGGUGUAGCGGUGAAAUGCGUAGAUAUCAGGAGGAACACCGGCGGCGAAGGCGGCAUACUGGACUGUAACUGACGUUGAGGCUCGAAGGCGUGGGGAGCAAACAGGAUUAGAUACCCGAGUAGUC